ACGGUCUAGUCAAGCUAGUCGAGAUUUCCCCUCUUUUCACUCCACUCAACCCACAAGGCCAACCCUAGCUCUGAUGAUCCGCCGCCGCGGCUCAUUCCCCCCUCCGGCGGCCCUACAGCACCCACUGGACGACGAGAGAUCCUUGUCCGCCUCCCACCACAGCCGCCCUCCCUCCCGCUCGCUUCCGCCGUAUGCAAGCGUUGGUGCCGCAUAGUCCGUGAUGCUCGCUUCGUCCACCUCUUCCGCGACCAUCACCGGAAAAUUCCACUUCUUGGCUUCUUUAUGAAGCAACAAGGUAAGCCUUGUGUCUUCUCUUCCACGCUGGAUCCACCUGACUGCAUCCCUGCUGCCCGUUUCUGCCCGCCGAAGAGUCUCGCCUGCUUGGGCUGGGUUUUUCGAGGCUGCCUGCAACGGGCUUGCUUUUUUCCUCAAUUGGGUGCAACGUGAGGUCUUCUUGUGGGACCCCAUUAGUGACCAGCAGCGCCGCAUUUCUUUCCCACUUCCACUAAGGUUCACCGAUGGUGCACCAAAGAUUGUGAUGAAUGCUGCGGUGGUGUGCGCUGAGCCCAUUCAAAUUGGUGGUGGUGUGCAAUGACCCACACCACGGCAAUGCAUAUGAUUUCCUCUUUGAAUCGAGAUCUAGUACAUGGGGAAAUAUGAUAAAUGUGGAGUCUACAUUAAUCGAUCCAACGAUCGAUCCCACUAGCCCGAGCAUCUUGAUUGGGAACAUGCUUUGCUGGUUGCUUUGUGAAGGUGAUAUCCUUCAAUUCGAUUUGGAAAAAGAAAGUCUUUCUUUGAUUGCGAAGCCAAUUGAAGCAUGUUUUAUGGACCCUUUAAGCUUUCAUCACUUCCAAAUCAUGCGGACAGAGCAUAGUGGCAUCAUUCUAGUAAUUCUUUUAGGACCGAAUAUUCAAAUCUGGGAGUGGAAGCCAGAAGCGAAGAUGUCAUGGGUGAUGGAGAAAACAAUUCAACUAGCCGACCUCUUUAAACCGAAAUUGUUCAUAGAGAAUGGAACAAUGUGGAGGCGGGGGUACGACGAGGAAUUAAAUUUUAUUUUCCUGACUACAAACAUGGGCGAUUUCAUGGUUCAACUGGACAGAAUGCAGCUCAAAAGAAUGUCUGAAAUAGAUCAAGAGAAGAGCUGGACCUGUUAUACCUAUGAAAAUUUCUACACAACAGGCAGGGGGAUUGGUGGUGGAGAUGGUGAAGAUGAUAUGUCUAAUGAUGCAUUAGAUGACUAUGCUAGUUGAACAGGUAGUGCUGCUUUCCGGGUAGCAAGAUAAUUUUAUCUGCAUGAUAUCUUUGUGAUCUGAUCACCGGCUAGGGAUUGUGGCGUUCAUGACAACGAACGGCCUUCACAACGGCUCCAUUUUUGUUUGGUGAUAAUGCGAUUCGGAGUGUGUGACGCUUCUUGGUUGCUGUAGAAUGCCAAUAAACAUAUGCUUAAUUAGUGUCAGUUGUGAGAAAAUGAUCGUAUGAACUUUAAUGUCAUGCUGUUGACGCAUCGACUGUACUAGUUUUCCUGGAUGGUAUCGACCUGUUGUUUGAAUUCCUAGCAUGAUGCUUUAUCUGGACGUAGUGAUCUUAAUACCGUAGACAAGUGAAAAGUCCAAUUUACAUGAUGUAUGCUGCGCACGUCAUUGUUUGGUGGGCACUUGACAGCUGCUAGAUUUCCAGUUAUAUA